rnacentral:lncRNA from 1 species
AUAGAGCGAGAAAGAAUAGAGAGAAUAAGAGAAAAAGAAGAAGAAUCUUAUGUUACUACAAUAUUGCGGUAUCCAAUUUCCUACUAAGGUAAGGGGUAUUAUUUCUUUCGUAUUCAUGAAGAGAGCUUCUGUUAUUCCAUUCUUUAUUAUUAUGUUGGAAUAACCUGUCUAUGCGAAGUACCGCAUACAUGGCAAAAUUCUUCUAUUAUUCUAUUCUUUAUUAUCCUGUUGGAAUAUCCUGUUUGUGCGGAUUACGCUAGGCCUGGUUCCAUUCUUUAUUAUUUUGUUGGAAUAACCUGUCUGUGCGGUCUAUCGCAUGCAUGGUGAAUUCUGUUGUUAUUCCAUUAUUUAUUAUUCUGUUGGAAUAUCCUGUCGGUGCGAAUUUUGCCUGACCUGGUUCCGUUCUUUAUUAUUCUGUCGGAAUAUCCUGUCUGUGCGUUUACGCAUGACUUGAUUCCAUUCUUUAUUAUUUUGUUGGGAAUAACCUGUCUGUGCAGUCUAUCGCACGCAUGGUGAAUCAUUUUGUUAUUUCAUUCUUUAUUAUUCUAUUAGAAUAACAUGUCUAUGUGGAUUACCACAUGCAUGGUAAAUGAUCCUUUAUAUUCAUUCCUAAUUAAAUUGUGGAAAUGAUCUGUUUACGUGGAUUAUGAUGAAAGUUAUAAUAUAAGCAUUGGACUGUUGAUUAUGAUGAAAGUCAUAAUAAAAGCAUUGGACUGAUGAAAAUCAUGGGUAUAUGUAGUAUUAGUAAGUGUUAUGAUGAGUUAUGUUGGUUAUUAUGUGAAAACAUGAAAGUUUCUUAGAAAUCACAAAGGGUUGAAAAUCAGAUUUUUGGUGAAAAUGGAACAUGAAAUUCAAUUGACCAUAUCUCCUAUUAUAUUUUAAAUUUUUGAGUGUGGUUAAGUUCUAGAGUUAGAUCUAUGAGUUUUUUAACUUAUCCAAGUGGAAUCACUGUAAAAGGUGUUGUAGAUUUUCGUGUGGGUUGAUUUUAGCAAAGGAGUCAAAAGCUGCAAAUUACAAAAAGGCUACUGCCCAGAAGUUUAAAAGGGCUGUUUCGGCCACUUAAUUUAUGAAAAAAAUUCCGGCCUUUUGGGACAUGGAAAUAUAUGGUAUAAAGUACCUCCUGUCCAAAAAUGAGCUCAUUCUGACUUAAAAUGAGCAAGUUAUGACUAUUUCAAUAUUUAGGUUUUUCUGACGAAAAAUGCUAUAACCGGAGUUCUAUAACUCCAAUGACCAUGAAAUUUAAACUGGAAGAUCACAUUAACAUGUGUAAGAUCCUGCCAAGAUUUGGGAAUUUCUGGAGUUAAACUUGAGAUAGCUAAUUUCUUAGGGAAUUAAUUAGAAAUUAAUUUUUGAAAAAUAGUAAAUAAAUUUUAAAAAUUUCGAGAAAAAAAUAUGUUCAAUAUGGGACUAUAUUCUGCUAAAUCUCAGAAAAGAAAUAUUUUUGGGACUAAUUUGGUAUUUUUCAUGAAAAUGAUAUAGUUAUGAGUAAAUGAGUUAAAUAUGUUAUGUGAAGUAAGAAAGUUGGAAAAUAGGAUUUUAUGGCUUGGAAAUCCUAUAUAGGGUAUAUGCAGAUUUUUGAUGAGGGAUUUGAUCAUUGGUGAUGAAAUCUUAUGAGUAUGACAUUUUUGAAUGAUUAAAUGCAUUAUUUGGUAAAGUGUAAACAAUUGAAAUAAAUUAUUUAUAAGUUUAAGAAGUGAUUAAAAUAUUGUUAUAAUAUUAAUAAUAUUAGAUUAUGAGUUUAUUAAGUGAUUGAUAAUAUUUGGAUAAAUUUAAAGUCUUUAAUAUUUAUCCUUGUUUUCGUUUGAUUAAUGUUUAUAUCAUUGUCAUCAUUCUCAUGCUUGUGUUGUGUUGAAAGUCAUCUGUGGCUUGUAGUGCAUAGAUGGACUUGGUAUGAUUAUGAUCAGGGGUUAUUCGGUAUACUCAUGACCGUAAUGUUAUAAAUGAUGUGGUAAAAGUCAUCUUUGGCCCGUAGUGCAUAGAUAGACUUGGUAUGAUUAUGACCAAGGAUUAUUCGAUAUAAUCAUGACCGUAAUGGAAAACACGAAUAUCCUUGACCCGUAGUACAUGGAUAAUUCAUGGUCGUGAUACUAUUAAGCUGAGUCUCAGCAUUAUUGGUUUUACAGUUGUAUAUCUUUGGCCUGUAGUGCAAAGAUGAACUGUUGAUUAUUGGUUAUACAGUUGUAUAUCUUUGGCCGUAGUGCAAAAGAUGAAUUUAUUAGAAUGAUUAUGAGCAGGAAUUAUGAUUUGGUAUAACCAUAAUUUUUGAUGUUUCAGGUGAUGUAAAUUAUCUUCGUCCUGGGUGUGAAAAGGAAUUUAGAAUCACAAUUAUGAUUAUGAGUUAUUCAUAUAAUUGUGGACAGGAAUUGUUGAUUGAUGUUACAGGGAUAAAAAAAUAUUGACGGACUUUUAACAUGGAGAAGAUAAUAGACUUGAUGGUCUAUUUGACUCUUUUAAUGGAUUUCUCGUUCCGCUGCAACUAUGGUUGAAAAGUUUUAUCAUCUACCAUAUGUUCUAAAUCUCUGAUUUGUUAUUGACGAAGGCUAUUGAUAAUUUAAUUAUCUUUAGUCAUGAUAUUCUUUACUGGGCUAGUUGUGCUCACCCUUUUUGCUUCACGAUUCCUUUCAGGUAAUAAGAGUGUUGCCGAGUCAAGCAGGGAUAACAGAGGAAUAGAACGGUGGUUUAUAGCUGUUGAG